rnacentral:rRNA from 1 species
AGGACGAACGCUGGCGGCGUGCUUAACACAUGCAAGUCGAACGGUAAGGCCUCUUCGGGAGUACACGAGUGGCGAACGGGUGAGUAACACGUGGGUGACCUGCCUUGAGCUCUGGGAUAAGCCUGGGAAACUGGGUCUAAUACCGGAUAUGACCUGUCCUUGCAUGGGGGUGGGUGGAAAGUUUUUUCGGCUUGAGAUGGGCCCGCGGCCUAUCAGCUUGUUGGUGGGGUGAUGGCCUACCAAGGCGGCGACGGGUA